rnacentral:rRNA from 1 species
CCUACGGGUGGCAGCAGUGAGGAAUAUUGGGCAAUGGACGCAAGUCUGAACCAGCCAUGCAGCGUGAAGGAAGACGGCCCUAUGAGUUGUAAACUGCUUUUGUACGAGGGUAAACUCAGAUACGCGUAUCUUUCUGCAUGUACCCUACGAAUAAGGAUCGGCUAACUCCGUGCCAGCAGCCGCGGUAAUACGGAGGAUUCAAGCGUUAUCCGGAUUUAUUGGGUUUAAAGGGUGCGUAGGUGGUAGGUUAAGUUAGAGGUGAAAUCCCGGGGCUCAACUUCGGAAUUGCCUCUGAUACUGUUAGGCGAGAGUGUAGUUGCGGUAGGCGGAAUGUGUGGUGUAGCGGUGAAAUGCUUAGAGAUCAUGCAGAACACCGAUUGCGAAGGCAGCUUAC